rnacentral:rRNA from 1 species
UACGUAGGGUGCGAGCGUUGUCCGGAAUUACUGGGCGUAAAGAGCUCGUAGGUGGUUUGUCGCGUUGUUCGUGAAAACUCACAGCUCAACUGUGGGCGUGCGGGCGAUACGGGCAGACUGGAGUACUGUAGGGGAGACUGGAAUUCCUGGUGUAGCGGUGGAAUGCGCAGAUAUCAGGAGGAACACCGGUGGCGAAGGCGGGUCUCUGGGCAGUAACUGACGCUGAGGAGCGAAAGCGUGGGGAGCGAACAGG